rnacentral:rRNA from 1 species
UACGUAGGGUGCAAGCGUUAAUCGGAAUUACUGGGCGUAAAGCGUGCGCAGGCGGUCUUGCAAGACAGAUGUGAAAUCCCCGGGCUUAACCUGGGAACUGCAUUUGUGACUGCAAGGCUGGAGUGCGGCAGAGGGGGAUGGAAUUCCGCGUGUAGCAGUGAAAUGCGUAGAGAUGUGGAGGAACACCGAUGGCGAAGGCAGCCCCCUGGGCUAACACUGACGCUCAUGCACGAAAGCGUGGGGAGCAAACAGG